ensembl:rRNA 5S_rRNA 5S ribosomal RNA
UACCACAGUUAAAUCACCCUGAGGCCCAAACCGGUUACUCACUGAAGCUAAGCAGGGCUGAGCCUGGUCUGUACCUAGAUGGGAGACCUCAUGGGAAAACUGGGUUGCUGUUGGAU